rnacentral:rRNA from 1 species
UGGGGAAUUUUUCGCAAUGGGCGAGAGCCUGACGGAGCAACGCCGCGUGAGGGAGGACGGCCUGUGGGUUGUAAACCUCUUUUCUCAGGGAAGAAGAACUGACGGUACCUGAGGAAUCAGCAUCGGCUAACUCCGUGCCAGCAGCCGCGGUAAGACGGAGGAUGCAAGCGUUAUCCGGAAUCAUUGGGCGUAAAGCGUCCGCAGGUGGUUAAUCAAGUCUGCUGUCAAAGACAGAAGCUCAACUUCUGAGAGGCAGUGGAAACUGGUAAACUAGAGUACGGUAGGGGUUGAGGGAAUUCCCAGUGUAGCGGUGAAAUGCGUAGAUAUUGGGAAGAACACCAGUGGCGAAGGCGCUCAACUGGGCCGUAACUGACACUCAGGGACGAAAGCUAGGGUAGCGAAAGGGAUUAGAUACCCCCGUAGUCC